AUUCUAGUGGUUUCCUUGUUAGUGCAACAUAAUUUGAAGUACGUCAUUAGCAAUGCUCAUUGUUUUGGUGGGAUUGGUUGGGCCAUGACAGAGUUCAGUUGGGAUGUCAAGUAUGCUGGCCUUCAAAUCAUGGCUUCCAAGAAAGCUGCAUUCUUUUCGGCCUUGGAAGUUGACAGGGUAAUGGGAAUGGAUCAUUCGUCUAAAUUCCAGGAUGGCAUUUGAUCUCGUGGGCUUUGCUGAAGCUGAUGAGAAUUUGAACGUGGAAUCGCCCGUCCUGUUUUAUGCUGGCUUUGAUAGAAAUGAUUGGAGAGAUGCUGAAACUGAAUAAAAUGAGACAGUGCAAGCUGUUCUUGGUGUUUGAUUAUUGUGCUAAGGAGGGAAUACAUGUGUUUAAAUUUUAGACGUGUUUUUGGUUGAAUUUUGCAUUUGUUUGGUUGAAUAAAAGGGAGUGUUUUUGCGUGAA